UACGAGGGGGUGCAAGCGUUGCUCGGAAUUAUUGGGCGUAAAGGGCAGGUAGGUGGUCUUAUUUGUCUUGUGUGAAAGCCUUGGGCUUAACCUAAGAAGUGCGCAAGAAACGGUAAGACUAGAGUCCCAGAGAGGCUUGUGGAAUUCCUGGUGUAGCGGUGAAAAUGCGCAGAUAUCAGGAGGAACACCUAUUGCGAAGGCAGCUCGCUGGGACGUAACUGACGCUGAGACGCGAAAGCGUGGGGGAGCAAACAGG
rnacentral:rRNA from 1 species